AGCAGUCGCCGCGGGAAUACGGAGGGUGCAAGCGUUAAUCGGAAUUACUGGGCGUAAAGCGCACGCAGGCGGUUUGUUAAGUCAGAUGUGAAAUCCCCGGGCUCAACCUGGGAACUGCAUCUGAUACUGGCAAGCUUGAGUCUCGUAGAGGGGGGUAGAAUUCCAGGUGUAGCGGUGAAAUGCGUAGGGAUCUGGAGGAAUACCGGUGGCGAAGGCGGCCCCCUGGACGAAGACUGACGCUCAGGUGCGAAAGCGUGGGGAGCAAACAGGAUUAGAUACCCGGGUAGUCCCUGUCUCUUAUAC
rnacentral:rRNA from 1 species